GGGGACGCUACUGAGAAGCUGGCUCACCAAGUCGCGGCCCAGGUUGCUGCUGCUGAUCGCAGGGUUGAAGAGGCCUCAGGUGACCCUCAUGAGGAGGAAAAGGAUGAAGCGCACAAAAGUAGCAAAGGCCACGUAAGCGAACCUGCAGCCGGAUGCCCCACUUCACCUGAGACCUUAAAGGAGAGGAUCUGCUCGUGAGACAUGGAAGACAAAGAAAAGGAAGACCUGUGUGUUGGAUCUUUGCCCCAGCAACGAACUAAAAUCCAGGAACCACAAAACAGAGUGAAGCAAGAGGACGAACCACAGAGAUUGAGACAGAUUAAUCCGGGUUACACCCAGACCUGGACUACGGCUUCACCCCCUCUCUCGAAAUAUACAUCUGUUUUGGCUCAUUAGACUGUAAUGACUGUGGCUUGUACAUCAUUCCCAUCCCAACACAAACUGUCCCUGUGUUCUCAGUUCAGCCUCUUUCAGGUUUCCAGGUCCGUGUGUUUGAGUCUCAGAAGAGUCCAAACCAGCUGCUGAUUAAACUCUGACGGGACGCCAACUGCUGCCUCACAUUCUUCUGUCAGAUAGAAACUUAACAAGUAGCUCGCUUACACCAUGAAUGUACAAUAAGACGUGGGUACGGCGCCGCGCUCAGCCUUGCUUCCAAUGCCCAAAAAGCAUUUUCCUCAUAGACCACCAUUAUAAAACUGUAAACUGUUGACAGGACACGUUGAAGUGCAAACAAGGUCAAUUAUGAAUCUUUGAUCCAUGGAGGGUUCAUAUUUGUAAAACUUUCCUCGAGCAGAGAAAAUACAUUUUAAAACCUGCUACGUCAUCAAAAUGUAAAGUCUAUGGGUCGGGCGCAUAUUGAGUGGGCCGCAUGACGCCAAAGUUAACCGGGAAGCUAGAAAACCUUUUUGGGGAAUGCGCCAGGCGAGCAGUUUUCAUUGUGUUGAAUAGGCGCCAUCUUUGGGUUCGGUAUCUAUUUCUUAUGCAUCCAUGGCUUCCAUUCAAUACGAAGCGUCACAUGACAUGCACCACAAAAUGUGAACGUUUUCAUUAUUCAAUCCUUGAUGGUAUGAAAAUGAGUAAAUUCGAGAUUCAGACACUGCAUCGUGCUAAUCACUGUUUCGCUUCAUUAUCUGUGCUGUUGUUGCAGGACAUGCAGUCGAGGAACUUGAAGUCUUUAUUUGACUAAAUGAGACAUUUGCAGACUCGAGCUUCUAGGUUUUAGACAAACUUAAUGUUUUUUUUCCAUUUUAUUUUUCAUAAAGUGGGUAGAAUAAGUUUUGGAACAAAACGCUUAAUAUUCGUUGCGUUUGUCAGGACGUAAUCAUAACCACAUGGUUACCACAGACGAUGGAGAGUCUCAUGUGGGAUGUUUGAAUCUCACCAACAUUAUAUUAUGUUCUCUUACAAGCCUCAGGAGAUGGAACUUCAGAAGCUACAUCGCAGAAACAUUUACGCAAAUUUAAAUUGCAUCGAGCCAAAAAUGUCCUUUUAAUAGGAUUUGACUAAGAACGUUGUUGGUUGAGAGAGGACCGUUAUAUCACCAGAUCAGAUAUUAGGAAGUCAGAGAUCAAUGUGAACAUCUUUAUACUGAUUUACACUGAAGAACAGGGGUGUAAUGGUGUGCUUAGAAACUACUUUGAUUUAUUUGAAGCAUUAUAUGGAACAAAAAGUAUUAAAUAAAAUGGUACGCAUUUUUUCUUUUGACCAA